rnacentral:lncRNA from 1 species
UAAACUGAUUGUUUUCUGUUUCCAAGUGGUCGAGCGCUUUUGUUUACAUAAUUUAAUUGAAUCAAGAUGGCGGACCGAUCAGCUGAGUGGCGUAUUUCAUCGAUGUGGAACGAUCUCAGUCGGAUUGGAAUGAGACAAAUCACAGACGAAAAUGAAUUGGAUGAACUGAUUAUUGAUUAUUUCAAUGCAAGACCUAUUGAUUGUGAAGACAGUCGAUUCUAGUUUGGAGGAGGAGACACAUGAUGAACCAAUUACGACGACGACCGUGGCCGUGACACACCCACACACACCCACACCCCCUGCUCAUGACCAUGAUCUGGAAUCUGGAACUUCAUGAAGAAGAAGUCCUGGUUCCUGUUCAACCAAUUGGCAUAACAUCAUCAGAUGGUGCAAUUUCUGGCCCAGGACCUUCGCAGCCCCCCUCCCAUGCUGUGCUCUACAACAACAAAGUGAUGCUGACCAGUCCAGUAUUGCUGAAGACGAGGAUGAUGCCUUAGGGGUGACCUUCAUAGAGAACGUGACAGUGACAGCCUUUGUGGUGCCAGAAGACGAGGAUGAUGCCUUAGGGGUGACCUUCAUAGAGAACGUGACAGUGACAGCCUUUGUGGUGCCAGAAGGUAAGGGUGUGGAGCAGACAGCUUUGCGAAGUUGAAGGGCCUGAAGUGCUUCUGCAAGCUCAAUGAUGGCAUGCCUUGCAACAGCCAGUUCGAAUCAACUGCUUUUGACGACCUGCGUUUGUCUUUUGCUGGUAUGACACGAGAGGAGCAUAAUAUUUUUUGACGCGUUUUUACGUAAUUCAAUGAUUUACUGUUGUAAUAUAAAAUCAGUCAUAACAUCACAUAGAAGAGAGGUAUUUCACUAAAAUAAAAAGCAAACUGUCCACAAAUGGCACCUCUAUGCUGUGGUAUCAGCAUUAUUUGCUUCUAUGCAUUGUCAUCAUGGAAAAUGUGUUCCCAAAGUAAGCAAAACUUUAAAACCUGUUUUCUCAAAAUUUGACACUCGAACCCCUGUUCGCUUUAAAAUGCCAUAACUUUUCACAAAAUGCUCCAAUUGCUUUCAAAUAAAGUGCAAAAUGCUCG